CAAGACCGACCUGAACCGACGCCCUAACGGGCUGGGUCACUAGGGUCAUGUUUUUAGUGCAUUCCUGGGUCACGGGUUGGAUGGGUCGGCACGGGAUGUGUGAGGUGAAGCCAAAAACUGAAAAAUUGUUAGGUGAGGCAUCCGUAUAGGCAGACACCAAUUUUAUAUUCUGAUUUGGAUUUAAAACCAUCUCCGUCGCUUCUGGAGGUGACGCAGAGUUGGAGAAGAUAAGGACCAUGAACCCAGGUUAGCUGUGAGAGCGGUUACAGAAACGGAGUCUAUUUAGAAGAUAAGGACCAUCAUAUUUUGAAUGAGUUUAUAAGAAGGGUAACAUCGAAGAGAUUGAGUCGCUGCCUCAUAUGGCAGAGACGUUAUCAUUUGAUGUGGGGGGUUCACAACGUAAAGAGAACAGACAACCUUGAGGGAAAGCCUCAAGAAAAUGAAAGAAAGUAAGAGAUACCGCCUAGGCGCCUAUAUAGCAUUCUAUGAAGGCUAUGGUAGUUUCAACGUCUACCCGGUUGUUCUUAGUUUAGGUGAAGCGCGGGAUAUUAUACUAGUUACAAUGAAAUCAAAAAGAGAGUCAUUACGGUGGUAAAGGAAGAUUGUUCGUGCCUGCACAAUAACAUCAACUCGUAGAAAGAAUGAAUGAAUUAAAUAUUGAAGUAUGAUCACCUCAA